rnacentral:rRNA from 1 species
AUGUUACGGGAGAGAUGUGGCCCUCGUGAUAGUGUAUAUGUGACCGUGGAAGAGAAAGUUGCAAUGUUUUUGCUUGUAGUUGGUCAUAGUAUUAAGACGAGGAUGUUGUGUGGCACCUACAAGCGUACUUUAUGGACCAUCAACACACACUUCUUUGUUGUCCUAAACGCCCUACUCUCUCUACAUGGGGAGUUCAUUAAGCUACCUUCCUCUACCUCUCAAGCUCCUGAUGAUUACAAAUGGAAGUGGUUUGGUAAUGCACUUGGAUCACUAGAUGGUUGUCAUAUUGACGUGCUUGUUGAUGUGGCUGACCAAGGAAGGUAUAGGAACGGAAAGCAAGCCAUUACCACUAACAUGCUAGGUGUUGUUGAUUGGAACAUGAAGUUUCUUUAUGUGUUACAUGGCUCGGAGGGUUCAGUUUCAGAUUCGAGAGUUUUGCGUGAUGCAAUGAGGGUGAACCGCCAAGAUGCUUUGUUGUGCCUAAGGGUACGACUCUUACUCUUGGCAUGUAGUUUCUUUGACUUGAUUGUUAGUUAA